AACCAGUCAUAUAUUUAUGUCAAUUAAAAUAUUAUUUCUAGUUUCUCCGGUAAUAUUAUAUAACAUCACUUCUAUAACUUUCAACUUAAUUGUCAAAGUCUGCCACUCCUUUUAUUUGUCAACACUCUAUUUAAAGGCUUAAUUCAGAGCCAGACAUAUAUCUUAAUCUCCCUUGAUACAGACAGUACACUUCUAUUAAAUUAGCCUAAGAUUUCAUUAACCAUCAGCUUCAUCAUCAUCGUCUGACUCAUGGUAGUCCACCUCCAGGGCAUUUAAAAGGCAUUCUUGGCCUGAAUUUUGUUCUUGAAUAAUGGGACUUUAAAAAUAUCAAUGCUAGAUUUAAAUUUGUCUCUAUUGAAUUUAGCCUUAGUGAUUUGGCUCUAUUAUAGCUUUUUGCUGUCUUUUCCAAAUUGUGUUCUGUGGAAGAUUCAUGUCCACAAAAGUAGUAAUUACACACACACAUUUAUACAACACACGUACACAUACAUAUAUUUUCCACCAUGUUAUAAAUUUGAUAAGUUUUAGGGUAAAGAAGGGUUAAAAAAGUUAUCUCUGUACAACCUUAGAGCCUAAUCUCUAGCAGAGAGAAAUAGUGUUGGCUGUUUCUCAAAAAUUUUAUUAUGGAACUAUUUUGUUGAAUGCCUACUAAUAUUUACAGGAACACAAAUACCUUUUUGACCUUAAACAU
rnacentral:lncRNA from 10 species